GCGUCUGUAGUCUAGUCUGGUAGGACCGAGGCUUCCCAAGCCUCUAGCCCGGGUUCAAAUCCCGGCAGGCGCA
rnacentral:tRNA from 1 species